rnacentral:rRNA from 3 species
GCUGGCGGCAGGCCUAACACAUGCAAGUCGAACGGUAACAGGAAGCAGCUUGCUGCUUUGCUGACGAGUGGCGGACGGGUGAGUAAUGUCUGGGAAACUGCCUGAUGGAGGGGGAUAACUACUGGAAACGGUGGCUAAUACCGCAUAACGUCGCAAGACCAAAGAGGGGGACCUUCGGGCCUCUUGCCAUCAGAUGUGCCCAGAUGGGAUUAGCUUGUUGGUGAGGUAACGGCUCACCAAGGCGACGAUCCCUAGCUGGUCUGAGAGGAUGACCAGCCACACUGGAACUGAGACACGGUCCAGACUCCUACGGGAGGCAGCAGUGGGGAAUAUUGCACAAUGGGCGCAAGCCUGAUGCAGCCAUGCCGCGUGUAUGAAGAAGGCCUUCGGGUUGUAAAGUACUUUCAGCGGGGAGGAAGGUGUUGUGGUUAAUAACCGCAGCAAUUGACGUUACCCGCAGAAGAAGCACCGGCUAACUCCGUGCCAGCAGCCGCGGUAAUACGGAGGGUGCAAGCGUUAAUCGGAAUUACUGGGCGUAAAGCGCACGCAGGCGGUCUGUCAAGUCGGAUGUGAAAUCCCCGGGCUCAACCUGGGAACUGCAUUCGAAACUGGCAGGCUUGAGUCUUGUAGAGGGGGGUAGAAUUCCAGGUGUAGCGGUGAAAUGCGUAGAGAUCUGGAGGAAUACCGGUGGCGAAGGCGGCCCCCUGGACAAAGACUGACGCUCAGGUGCGAAAGCGUGGGGAGCAAACAGGAUUAGAUACCCUGGUAGUCCACGCCGUAAACGAUGUCUACUUGGAGGUUGUGCCCUUGAGGCGUGGCUUCCGGAGCUAACGCGUUAAGUAGACCGCCUGGGGAGUACGGCCGCAAGGUUAAAACUCAAAUGAAUUGACGGGGGCCCGCACAAGCGGUGGAGCAUGUGGUUUAAUUCGAUGCAACGCGAAGAACCUUACCUGGUCUUGACAUCCACAGAAGAAUCCAGAGAUGGAUUUGUGCCUUCGGGAACUGUGAGACAGGUGCUGCAUGGCUGUCGUCAGCUCGUGUUGUGAAAUGUUGGGUUAAGUCCCGCAACGAGCGCAACCCUUAUCCUUUGUUGCCAGCGGUUAGGCCGGGAACUCAAAGGAGACUGCCAGUGAUAAACUGGAGGAAGGUGGGGAUGACGUCAAGUCAUCAUGGCCCUUACGACCAGGGCUACACACGUGCUACAAUGGCGCAUACAAAGAGAAGCGACCUCGCGAGAGCAAGCGGACCUCAUAAAGUGCGUCGUAGUCCGGAUUGGAGUCUGCAACUCGACUCCAUGAAGUCGGAAUCGCUAGUAAUCGUGGAUCAGAAUGCCACGGUGAAUACGUUCCCGGGCCUUGUACACACCGCCCGUCACACCAUGGGAGUGGGUUGCAAAAGAAGUAGGUAGCUUAACCUUCGGGAGGGCGCUUACCACUUUGUGAUUCAUGACUGGGGUGAAGUCGUAACAAGGUAACCGUAGGGGAACCUGCGGUUGGA